AUGUGCAGCGGCCAGCGCACCGGCUCCUGCCCUCGCCGCGGCCUCUGCCAGGACCCCGACACCCCGCCCGACCCUACCCUCAAGCGGGGCUGCGGCCUCACCGUCUGCAACAGCCGCUCCGUCCGGCAUUUGGCGUGCUCCCCGGGGCAGAGGCCGCGGUGUCCUCAGGCUGUGGCACCAGCCUGCGACCCCCACGCCCGGCUCCGGCCCAGGAGGAGGAGGGCGCUGCUCCCCGGGUAGGGCGACCGGUCACCUGGGCCGGGAGGGCGGCGCAGGGGCGGAAGCGGCUGUCCGGGCUGCUGCUUUGGACUUCUCCGCCCUCUGGCCGGCCCGGCCGCGUCGCCCAGGGCUCCAGGGCCGCCUGGCGCCACCCUCUCCCAGCGCCGCGGUCCCUCCGGUACCUCCCUGGCGGCUGCGGAGCCCUCCUGGGACAGGGUCCAUAAACUCUCUAGAGCGGGAAGUCGCGCAGUCGCGGGGCCGUCACGGGGACCGCUCGAGAUCCGAGCCCACUGGGUGCCCCGGACCCUUCUCUCGCCGGCCCGGCCCCGCGCCCAGACCUAGCGGCCGCUGGCGCCUGGCCCGCUGCGUGGGUCUUCGGUGAGCUAGCUGCCCACCCAGUGCUGCGGCCUCGGCUCCCGCAUGCGCGCUCUGGUGGUUCCUUGCUAGGGGCGACCCUGUGGGCCAGCUUCCCACGCCCGGUCCCCAGGCCGCGCCCAACCCGGCUCCCUGGGCUAGGGUACUGGCUCCUCCUGGGGGCCGUGGGACUGGGAGGCAGGGGCGUUAAGGGAGACGGUGGGACCGAGGGCAGCCCCUGCUGAGUGCACCGCGAGGUCGAGCGCAGGCCUCUGUUGCACAGUGCGCGGCUUUUGCUGGGACUGUGCUGGGGCUCAGAGGGUGGUAUCAGUGCCAGAGGCGAUGUCAGGGAGGCUUCACCAAGAAGAAGCCGCGGAGCUGACCCCUGGGGUGUGAGCAGGUCUUCUUCAGGUGGAAGAGGGCAGGACCGAAUUGCAGGUGGAGUCAACUGUGUUUUCGCACACCUGGGGGGUGAAGGGGACGCAGUCUGUCUACCUGACCCGUGAAAUGUAGGAGACUGUACCCCAGAAGCAGCGGGUUUACUGCUGCAUUGAUUAACCAAGUCUGGAACAAACAUGUAGCUAAGCUGCGAGUUCUGUGCCAGUGGUCCCAACACCCACUCCCCCAGGAAAACACAGCUUUGGAGGUUGGGUGCUUGUCAGGCCUCAGAAUGGAGAGCAGGGGCCAGAGACACCAAGCAGGGGGAACCCACCCUAGGCCUCUUGAGGGACGACGAUGUGGGGAGCUGGUGGCAGAGCCUGAGCUGGCCCGAGGUUGCAUGGUGGGGACAGAUUCGAGGCAUAGUAGGGACUGGUGACCUCAGUUCCCAGAAUGUCCCAGCCUGGCCUCCUGGUCCAGCUAGCAAGUAGUGGGUGCUGCCCUGCAAAGACUCUGGGGGUGCCUGGGCCCCCCCUCACCAAACUUGACUGGUGACUUCUGUGUUCAUCCUCACAAGAAGAGGGAUUUUCUCUCACUUUCAGGCAAGCCCAGGAAAGUCAGGGGCCUAUGUGAGCCAAAGAGGAGAGAAGGCGAUGCUUUAGCCCAUUGUUUCUGCCCCGCCUGGUUUGUGGCCUUGGGGACUUGAUUUGCACCACAGGAUAAAGGGCAAUGAAAGCCCCUCCCUGACUGGCUUCUCACUCCACUCUGACCAGCCCAUUGCACAGCGCCCACCCUGCAGCUCCAGGUACAGCCUGUGCACCUGCAGCUCCAGGUACAGAGGCUGGGCUGGUUCUGGGCUGACCUCAGGGCCUUCUGAUGGUUGCAACCCUCAGGAUGCCUCAUGCUCACCCCUUGGCACCCACCUGACAGCUCAGCAUGUCUGCUAUAUGCCAUCCUCAAUGCCUGCUCUAGACAAGCCCAAGUCCCCCAGGAGUGGCAGAGGGAACUGAGCUGGGAACUAAGUCCCAGCUCACUGAACCCCAAGUGGGCCUCCCACUUUAGGUCACAGCCCCAGGCAAGUUCCCUUCAGGGAUGUGAUCCCAGGGGCCACAGCAGCACGUUCUGGCCUAACCUAUUCACUACUCAAUUAGUUACUGAACAGGCCAGGAUGGGCAUGGGCCCUGACAUUAAUCCCCUUUCUCUGUGAGGGGGCUGGAUUGGGUUUGCCAUCCUGAUGUCUUUGUGGAAAGAGCUGGCAGGUGGAGCAAGUCUCAGGGGCCAGCCAUAGGACAGGGAACCUAGGAUUCGCCUCUGCUGGAACCCUGUGAGGCCCCUGCAGGCAGGAGGGUCCAAUGGAGGUCCAGGCACCUCUCCCAGCUUGGUGUUCACAGCUCCUCCCUGGCCCACUCCCUCUACACUUGCACCUGCUGGUCUCUGGGAGGAGAGCAUCCAUCCAUCUUCUGCAUGUAGCUUUCUGCUGCAUUUCCAUGAGGAUGGUCUCCUUGAUAGAAUGCCCAGCAGGGUGUCCUGAGCCUGUGCUGGCUGUUCUCUAAGUGCCAAGUCAGUGAGAGGGACUUGAAAACUCAAGACUUAUUAACAUUAUUUUCUGGUAAAGUGCAGAAAAAUAAAAAAAAUAAAAAUAAAAACCCUGCUUUCAGGGUUUUUUCCUUAAAAUGUGUAAAAACAAAUAUUGAAAUUUCUAUCUUUUAUAUAAUUUGGAUUCUGUCAUCACAUGGACCUUUCAUUUUCCUGAAAUUUAUUUUUAUAUAUGUAUAUCAAACAUUGAAUUUUUAUUUUCUUCUUUACUGAAAUUGUUAACCGUUUUAGAGGCCAAUUUUUUUUAAAAAAAAAUCAUACUUCACAAACAUUAAUAAAAUGUAGGAAUUUAUUUAUAAUGUUAUUAUACUUUUUUCUUUCUUUUUUUUUUUUUUUUUUGAGACAGUCUCGCUCUGUCACCCAGGCUGGAGUGCACUGGCCCAAUCUUGGCUCACUGCAACCACUGCCUCCCAGGUUCAAGCAAUUCUUCUGCCUCAGCCUCCCAAGUAGCUGGGAUUACAGGUGCUCACCACCAUGCCCGGCUAAUUUUUGUAUUUUUAGUAGAGACAGGGUUUCACCAUAUUGGGCAGGCUGGUCUCGAACUCUGACCUCGUGAUCCGCCCACCUCGGCCUCCCAAAGUGCUGGGAUUACAGGCGUGAGCCCCCGCACCCAGCCUAUACUUUUUAAAGAUGUGAAUAAUUGCAUUAAAGACUUUAUAUUACUUGUAUGAAUUAAUUUACAUUUUUCCACAAUCUUGAAAAAUAUUUUAGCUAGGUAUGCAAUUCCAGAUUAACACAUAUUUAACCUACAACUUCAAGCUUAAUAUCUAUUGAUAUAUCAAUUUCAUGAAGAAGUUGAGAGACAAGAUUAAAAUCUAUUGUUCCAUAAUUUGCAUUUUAUAUUUCAAUGAGUUUAAUUCAUUUCUUUUAUUUUGGUGUUAACAUUUUCAUUUAUGAUGUUUUUAGAUAUGUAUACCUUUUGUGCUUUUCUUGGUUGAUAUUUGAUGAGCCUGUAUUUCAUCAUUCUUUAAAAUGUUUAAACAUGUCUUAUUUUCUACUAUUUUCUCUGUUUAUUUAAAUGUCUGUUUUGAAAAUUCAUUAGAAAUAGCCCUUUCAUUCCAUUUUCAAUUUAUUUUCACCUCUAUUUUAUAUUUUCUAUUCAUUUUUCUUCUUGUCCUGACACCUAAGUAUAGAUUUCAGUUCAUUCUUUUACUCAUAUUUUAGCUCAUAUUUUUUACAUUGCCUGUAUCCCUCUAAUCUGUAAAUGUUUCUAAUUACAUAUAUAUUUUCUAUACCUAAUACACUACUUUGGAAUUCCUUGAGGCCUAAUUGUAUAGGGUGCUCUGGUUUUGUUGUUGUUAUUUCUGAAUGACAUUGACUUCGGUGGUCUUCAUUUUGCAUGUUUAAAAAUAUUAGAUUGUGUGAUUAUAUUUGACAGGUCUUAACUGAUGUGCCGUUCAGUGCUUUGGGUUGAGCUUUGGGUUCGGUUGAGUUUUGGGUUGGAGAAUUUUCUUCCACAGGAGACUGUCUUGGAUUUUUCUGUUUCUCCCUCAAUAUCCACCUGGAAAACAUUUGAAUUAAUUUAUAGUCACUUAAAUAUUUCUGUGCAAAAACUGUGUACAGAAGCCCCAAAGUAACAAUGGGCUGCCUUCCUUCCUGAAUCAGCCAAGGCAUAGCCUGAGGAGCUUCACUGUUUAUCUUCCUUUGACUGCAGUCUGAGUAUUCUAGGCCAUUUUUCUUAGACUUGUGGAACUUUGAGGCUUUUCCUUUAGUUAGGCUGGUCAGUUUCUUCUCCCCUUCACUGGUGUUGCUGUAGCAUUGUAUCCACACCCAAAUGCUGUUAAAACCCAACAAAGGAUGCCCCUAUUAUGACUGCACCAUCAUGGGCAGCCCCACCCUGCCAGCUUUGCUGUCAUCCUCCCUCCUUCCUGCCACCUCUGCUUCUUCACUUUCAUUCCCCACUUAGGAAUAAUUUGCCCAGUUGAGCACAUAUUCUGUUGUCCAGCAUUUAUGGUGGUUUGUAGUGGAAAAGAUUUUUAGAAUAUGUGGAUUUUUGGAAUAUUUCCUCCAAAAGCCCAGAUAGCCACACUUUACCUUUGGAGGAAUUAUUUCUCAGAAUACUGCACACAACCGCCUUUGGAAGGAGCAUAUAUCCCCAGCAAAAGCUCUGAUUUUUUGAAGUCUGUAUUGUGUGUUAUUUCCAGGAGAAUAUAGCAAUGAUGAUAAUGUUAUUAAACAAUUCAAAUAUGAAAUGCUGUUAUGCCUAACAUAAGGAUUUUACGUGAUCAUGCCUUUUGGCUGAGGAGAAUACUCCUGUCUUGUUGGAAUUAUUGAUAAUUUGACCGUAAUUGCUAAUGAGUCAGAAAAAUUAGGAACACCAAGUUUCAGUCUUCUCAAGAGCACUCCUCUUAUUAAAUUUGAACUUUUACCUUUAUCACAUGCAAAAGAAAUAU
rnacentral:lncRNA from 1 species